CGCACGGGUGCGUAACGCGUAUGUAACCUACCUAUAACAGGGGCAUAACACUGAGAAAUUGGUACUAUUCCCCAUAAUAUUCGGAGAGGCAUCUCUCCGGGUUGAAAACUCCGGUGGUUAUAGAUGGACAUGCGUUGUAUUAGCUAGUUGGUGAGGUAACGGCUCACCAAGGCAACGAUACAUAGGGGGACUGAGAGGUUAACCCCCCCACACUGGUACUGAGACACGGACCAGACUCCUACGGGAGGCAGCAUG
rnacentral:rRNA from 1 species